rnacentral:lncRNA from 1 species
GGAAAAUAGUAAAGGAAACCAUAGCAGAACUAGGAUGUAAAACACAUAGUAGAGGGGUAGUAUUUAAAAUAAGAUGGACAUACCAGUUACAAAGUAACAGAAUAGAAUAGCAGAGUAACCACGGCAAGCAAACAGAAGAAACAACUCAGAUUUUUAGCAGAACGCUCGAAGAUUCAAAGAGAACUAAAAGGUGUUUCAGAAAGCAAAGAGGAAAAGUACAUAGAACUGAAAUGUGUAUUUGAGAGGAGAAGAGAUAGAAAACAGACUGCCUAUUAUUUAU